rnacentral:rRNA from 1 species
GAUGAACGCUGGCGGCGUGCCUAAUACAUGCAAGUCGAGCGAACGGACGAGAAGCUUGCUUCUCUGAUUUUAGCGGCGGACGGGUGAUUAACACGUGGAUAACCUACCUAUAAGACUGGGAUAACUUCGGGAAACCGGGGCUAAUACCGGAUGAUAUUUUGAACCGCAUGGUUCAAAAGUGAAAGACGUUCUUGCUGUCACUUAUAGAUGGAUCCGCGCUGCAUUAGCUAGUUGGUAAGGUAACGGCUUACCAAGGCAACGAUGCAUAGCCGACCUGAGAGGGUGAUCGGCCACACUGGAACUGAGACACGGUCCAGACUCCUACGGGAGGCAGCAGUAGGGAAUCUUCCGCAAUGGGCGAAAGCCUGACGGAGCAACGCCGCGUGAGUGAUGAAGGUCUUCGGAUCGUAAAACUCUGUUAUUAGGGAAGAACAUAUGUGUAAGUAACUGUGCACAUCUUGACGGUACCUAAUCAGAAAGCCACGGCUAACUACGUG